GAUGAACGCUGGCGGCGUGCCUAAUACAUGCAAGUCGAGCGAACAGACGAGGAGCUUGCUCCUCUGACGUUAGCGGCGGACGGGUGAGUAACACGUGGAUAACCUACCUAUAAGACUGGGAUAACUUCGGGAAACCGGAGCUAAUACCGGAUAAUAUCUUGAACCGCAUGGUUCAAUAGUGAAAGACGGUUUUGCCGUCACUUAUCGAUGGAUCCGCGCUGCAUUAGCUAGUUGGUAAGGUAACGGCUUACCAAGGCAACGAUGCGUAGCCGACCUGAGAGGGUGAUCGGCCACACUGGAACUGAGACACGGUCCAGACUCCUACGGGAGGCAGCAGUAGGGAAUCUUCCGCAAUGGGCGAAAGCCUGACGGAGCAACGCCGCGUGAGUGAUGAAGGUCUUCGGAUCGUAAAACUCUGUUAUUAGGGAAGAACAAAUGUGUAAGUAACUGUGCACGUCUUGACGGUACCUAAUCAGAAAGCCACGGCUAACUACGUG
rnacentral:rRNA from 1 species